AUGUAUGAAUUGCAUGAUUGGUACAUGAAAAUUACCAAGAUUUCCAAUCGAGAGUCCCUCAUGGUGCAAGUCGAGGAAGAUCAUUACUUCAAUAAGAAAGCUCUGUCCGUUGAGUAUUCAGAACUAUUUCAGUUAUUCAAUCAAGAUGCACUCGACAAAUCUAUCAUCAGUUGCUAUUGUCUGAUGAAGAUGUAUGAAAUGAAAAAAGCUGGACGCUAUGGCAUUGGGUUCAUUGACCCAAAUACAGUUAAUGAAUACACAUGGAAAUUGGAAUGGUGUAGACAAGAUGUAGAGAAAAACAUGGUAGAGUUCUUGAAG
rnacentral:rRNA from 1 species